ACCACAUCCCGUCCGAUUUGUGAAGUUAAGCGUGCACAGGCCUCGUUAGUACGGCGAUCAGUGAUGGCGCUGGAACCCGGGGUGCCGUACCCU
rfam:Trypanosoma cruzi strain CL Brener tcruzi_1047053493831, whole genome shotgun sequence.